CCCCUGGUGGUCUAGUGGUUAGGAUGAGGCACUCUCACCGCCGCAGCCUGGGUUCGAUUCCCAGUCAGGGGA
rnacentral:tRNA from 1 species